CAGAGUUGGUGCCCGAGGGGGGGCUGCGCGCGCACGCAGGGCGCCAGCUGCCUUUGCCCGGGCAGCACCUCGCUCUGCCCUGCGGCCGGCCUGGUGGGAGGUGCUUUGGCUUCUUGUGCAUCAGACAACCGCUGGGUUGGGCCGGGGACGUGCUUCCGGGGCGUUGGCUAACUGGCCAUCUGUUAGCAUCAUUCUCGGUGUCAGCGCGGCUUGGCGGGAGAGGGCAGAUCCGGAUACCAGACAUCAUGAGGCGAAGCCCGUGCCGCCUCCUUCUCCUGGCUUGUGAUGAGGUUCCCAAUUCUUGUUCCUGACUUCAGGAAGAUUAGAGAGAUGAUGAUCAGCUGCAUGAGUCCCUGCCACUCUCCUGAAAAAGCUUCCAGGCAUUACCUACAUGUUGUGUUCCUGUGGAGGGAAGGCAGUAAUCUCUGCUGAGAUACACCGGAGCUUCUGUGGAUAAGGCAGAAAUGCAGUGAAGCGUGUGGCUUGCUUAGAUGCAAGUUGAGCUUGGAAUUCCAGAGGUAGAGCAUUGCCGAUUGGAGGCAUAUUAAGAAAAGAGUACUGUGGAAAGGAGAUUCACAAGAGGAUCUUAUUGACAUCUUUAUUGUGAGAAUUUGGUGGAUUUCCUGAAAUUUGGGGGGGGGGGGGCUCCCCUGUGCCUUCAGUCCUCAGAAGCUUCUCACUCUUACAGUCGUCCACAUUCUUCCUCCAGCAAUUUGUCAAAAUUACCAGUUUUGGUGCUCCUACCAGUUUAUGAUUCCAGAGCCUUCUUUUCCAGAAAGCUGCGGUCGCCUGGAGCCUAGGAUGACCAUGUUUGCUGAACUAGGAGCAGUGAGGUGAUUUUUGCAAGGUGGCAAUGCUCUUGCCCCGCUUUACGAACGAGGAAACCGAGACACCAAGAGGUUCAGUAACCUGCUCAAGAUCACACAACUGAAGAGUGGGAACAUCGAGGGAUUGGCAGCGUCAGGCGUUCACAGGAGGAGAUGGAAGCAUUUCCGCUCCCGCCCCAGCACCUUCUCUCUGCAAUUCAAAAGAAAUAUUUGGAGCCGAUUCUUAAUUCUCUGCUGUGCUGACUAGUCACAGAGCACAGGCUCCGGACGCGCAGACCCGGCGACCACGGCCCACGGGCCCGGCCGCUCCGCGGCACGCGGGAUCCUCCCGGACCGGGGCACGAACCCGCGCCCCCUGCAUCGGCAGGCGGACUCUCGACCACCGCGCCACCAGGGAAGCCCUCUUUCUUCAUUUUAGAAGACCUCACCAUCACAACCUCCACUCCAGUACUGUUGCCCAGGUGAGAACACUCGCAUAUCUCCUCUUCACUGUACUACACGAGAUGCAUCUUGGGUGCAUGUCCCUAAGCUAACAAAGAUCAUCUUUUUUAGCAAAGAUCUAGUGCAGAGGUUGGCAGACGAUGGCCCCAGGUCAAAUCUGGCCCACCGGCUGCUUUCGUAAAGUUUUCUUAGCACAUGUCCACGCCCACCUGUUUCCACACUGCCUGUGACUGCUUUUGUGCUACCGCAGCAGAGUUGAGUAGCUGUCACAGAAACCGAAUGUCUUGCAAAAACUAAAAUAUUUACUAUGUGGCUCUUUACGGAAAAUGUUUACUGACCCCUGCUCUAGAGAACAGGUGUCCAGCAUAACCAUCACACAAUUAUAGAACAUUUUUAUCACCUCAAGAAAAAACUUUGUAUCCUUUAGCUAUCACCCCUCUCUCCCCCCACCCCACCCAGGCCUAAG